AGCGAACGCUGGCGGCAGGCCUAACACAUGCAAGUCAAACGGACCCUUCGGGGUUAGUGGCGGACGGGUGAGUAACACGUGGGAACGUGCCUUUAGGUUCGGAAUAGCUCCUGGAAACGGGUGGUAAUGCCGAAUGUGCCCUUCGGGGGAAAGAUUUAUCGCCUUUGGAGCGGCCCGCGUCUGAUUAGCUAGUUGGUGAGGUAAUGGCUCACCAAGGCGACGAUCAGUAGCUGGUCUGAGAGGAUGACCAGCCACAUUGGGACUGAGACACGGCCCAAACUCCUACGGGAGGCAGCAGUGGGGAAUCUUGCGCAAUGGGCGAAAGCCUGACGCAGCCAUGCCGCGUGGAUGAUGAAGGUCUUAGGAUUGUAAAAUCCUUUCACCGGUGAAGAUAAUGACUGUAGCCGGAGAAGAAGCCCCGGCUAACUUCGUGCCAGCCGCCGCCGUAA
rnacentral:rRNA from 1 species